AGGUAAUCUUCCACAAUGGGCGCAAGCCUGAUGGAGCAACACCGCGUGAGUGAAGAAGGGUUUCGGCUCGUAAAGCUCUGUUGUUGGAGAAGAACGUGCGUGAGAGUAACUGUUCACGCAGUGAAGGUAUCCAACCAGCAAGUCACGGCUACCUACUGUCCGGCAGCCGAGGUAAUACGUAGGUGGCAAGCGUUAUCCGGAUUUAUUGGGCGUAAAGCGAGCGCAGGCGGUUGCUUAGGUCUGAUGUGAAAGCCUUCGGCUUAACCGAAGAAGUGCAUCGGAAACCGGGCGACUUGAGUGCAGAAGAGGACAGUGGAACUCCAUGUGUAGCGGUGGAAUGCGUAGAUAUAUGGAAGAACACCAGUGGCGAAGGCGGCUGUCUGGUCUGCAACUGACGCUGAGGCUCGAAAGCAUGGGUAGCGAACAGG
rnacentral:rRNA from 1 species